rnacentral:lncRNA from 1 species
UAAUGAGGAGGUGCUCCUGAGUGCGGAUUAUAGCAUCAAGAUGGUAAGUCCUACCACCUUUGCUCGAAAUAUGCUCUUUGUGCCUUCGGGCUAGCUGAUCGGCCAACCAUUCAAGCAAGCUCCAGAAUUCGAGCUUUACAGGCUUGAUUGGCAUCUACGCUUACACAGCCACAAGCAACUGAAAAAUGUUUGAGGCCGAGUAUUGAGAAGAGAUCGCUAGAGAUGGCUGAGCCUUAGCAGAGAUGGAGCGAAGCCUCUCCAACGAAGCCCGUAAGAAUCUCCAAAGACAACUCAAUAGUUCCAUUAUCAAAAAUGAGAACCUAAAGAAGAUCUUGGGGACUAACCAAUGGGAGGUUAAGAAGUUGAGGAAGGAUGGUUCUUGAUCAUCUGAGGUACUUCAUCCUUUUUCCC